rnacentral:tRNA from 1 species
UCUUAGUUAGCUCAGUUGGCAGAGCGCUCCACUGGAAUUGAAGAGGUCCUUGGUUCGAUACCAGGACCAGGCG